GUGGAUUAGAUACCCGGGUAGUCCACGCUGUAAACGAUGAGAACUAGAUGAUUGGUGUACUAUUGCACUGAGUAUCGAAGCUAACGCGCUAAGUUCUCCGCCUGGGGAGUACGGUCGCAAGACUAAAACUCAAAGGAAUUGACGGGGGCCCGCACAAGCGGUGGAGUAUGUGGUUUAAUUCGAUGCAACGCGAAAAACCUUACCUACCCUUGACAUGCCGAGAAUUUUGCAGAGAUGUAAGAGUGCCGAAAGGAACUUGGACACAGGUGCUGCAUGGUCGUCGCCAGCU
rnacentral:rRNA from 1 species